AUGUGUUAAUAUGUAGAUGAAGAUCAAAUUUAACAAGUUAUUUGAGUCUUUGUUCUUAUUUGAUAACCACUAAU